UAUUUCAAAUUUCAUCUAUUUUUACUGUUAAAAAUUGGUGUGGCUGAUGAAAUAACCCAUACAGCUAUGCAUGGCGUGCCACAUAUACUUCAUGCUGACAUACAAUGACUAAUUUUUAAUAGUAAAAAUGGAUAGAAAUUUUAACA
rfam:Gossypium hirsutum cultivar TM-1 unplaced genomic scaffold scaffold804.1, whole genome shotgun sequence